GAUGAAGAACGUAGCGAAAUGCGAUAAGUAAUGUGAAUUGCAGAAUUCAGUGAAUCAUCGAAUCUUUGAACGCACAUUGCGCCCCUUGGUAUUCCGGGGGGCAUGCCUCUUCCAGCGUCAUUUCACCCCUCAAGCUCUGCUUGGUUUUGGGCCGCGCCGGCAACGGCGGGCCUCGAAAAAAGUGGCGACGCCAUCGUGCUCUCAGCGUAGUAAUUCUUCUCGCUGUUGGGUCCCGGUGGUCGUACGCCAGCAACCCCCACCUUUCUUAAGUUUGACCUGGGAUGAGGUAGGGAUACCCGCUGAACUUAAGCAUAUCAAUAAGCGGAGGA
rnacentral:misc_RNA from 1 species